CCUUCGGCAAAUGGACAAAGUGUAUACAGAAAUCGAGUGAUUAUGUCAAAAAAUGAUGUAUGUCUUUUUUGACAAUUGCUUAAAAUAAAUUCUACACCGACAGAGCGGGCUGUUAAUCUAGAGGCUGGAGUACAAAGAAGUGGCACAAUGAUGUGGGCUGAUGACAUUUAUAAUUAUCAAGGAAUCACCCCUACAUUCGCUCAGAAUUUUAAUGAAACUGUCCCUUGGGAAGGAAGAACUGAUACCUUGAUAUCACAGUUUGUACAUCCUAUAUAUACGACAAAUUUUAGAACAUUAUAUAACGAAGAACCAGAUCGUCGUGGCCAUGUGAUGUGAAUAAAAGGACUUGAAUUUGAUGAUAUUUUUAUAAUGUUAGAUAACAUAACUAAGUAUCUUCACAGUAAGAUAGGAUGACAUGGUUUACAUGAUCUUAAUGUUGUUCACUCGAGUGAUGAUAUUAUAAGGAAAAGUGUAAUAUCACAGGAUAUUUAUGUUUAGUAACCAGUAAUUCAGAGAUUGGUAUUCAUGGUUACUAUAACGAGGCUGUAGAAACGCACCCUUUCUUCUUUGCAAAUGGUCCUGUAUUUAUGUCUAAGCCGAAACUGGAACCUCUGAAUAAUUUAGAUUUAUUCUUGUUAUUUUCUAAAAUACUUAUCUACAGUAUACCAUAAGGAAUGAUACCGUAUCGCACCUAAUCAAGUGCCUUAAGAAACAUCA